rnacentral:rRNA from 1 species
UACGAAGGGGGCUAGCGUUGCUCGGAAUCACUGGGCGUAAAGGGUGCGUAGGCGGGUCUUUAAGUCAGGGGUGAAAUCCUGGAGCUCAACUCCAGAACUGCCUUUGAUACUGAGGAUCUUGAGUUCGGGAGAGGUGAGUGGAACUGCGAGUGUAGAGGUGAAAUUCGUAGAUAUUCGGAGGAACACCAGUGGCGAAGGCGGCUCACUGGUCCAUUACUGACGCUGAGAUGCGAAAGCGUGGGGAGCAAACAGG